rnacentral:rRNA from 1 species
GACGAACGCUGGCGGCGUGCUUAACACAUGCAAGUCGAACGGAAAGGCCCUGCUUUUGUGGGGUGCUCGAGUGGCGAACGGGUGAGUAACACGUGAGUAACCUGCCCUUGACUUUGGGAUAACUUCAGGAAACUGGGGCUAAUACCGGAUAGGAGCUCCUGCUGCAUGGUGGGGGUUGGAAAGUUUCGGCGGUUGGGGAUGGACUCGCGGCUUAUCAGCUUGUUGGUGGGGUAGUGGCUUACCAAGGCUUUGACGGGUAGCCGGCCUGAGAGGGUGACCGGCCACAUUGGGACUGAGAUACGGCCCAGACUCCUACGGGAGGCAGCAGUGGGGAAUAUUGCACAAUGGGCGGAAGCCUGAUGCAGCAACGCCGCGUGCGGGAUGACGGCCUUCGGGUUGUAAACCGCUUUCGCCUGAGACGAAGCGUGAGUGACGGUAAUGGGUAAAGACGCACCGGCUAACUACGU